UCAAACCACUGCAUCAGAUAUAGUGUCCAACCAAGUACAUUAAUACCUAUUCUAAAAACAGAAGCAAAUAUAACAAAAUUUAAAAAGAUAAGUUUAGAACACUGGGUUGCCUCCCAGGUAGCGCUUCUUUAACGUCACGAGCCUGACCCAAACCUUUCUAGCACACAUCAAUAGGUGCAAAACUUACCGUCACCCAUCAGUAGGUGUACCUUCCUGUAUCCUUCAGUAGAUACCUAAAUCUUCUAGCAUCCCUCAGUAGAUGCUAUCCCAGUAGCAUUCAUCAGUAAACGCCGUUAGUGACAUCCAUCAGUAGAUGUUGUGGAAGCAUCCCUCAGUAGAUGCUAUCAUUACUGCCAUCAGAAGCAGCGCGUAACCCAAAAAUAAAAUAAAAUAAAAUAAAAUAAAAUAAAAUAAAAUAAAAUCAAGUCAAAUAAAAUAAAAUGAAAAUGAAAUUAAAGAUAAAAAAUUCAGAAACUGGGUUCCCUCCUAGCAAACGCUCUUUUAACGUCAUUAGCUUGACCCGGUAAAGCCCAAACACCCAUUAGUAGGUGUUGAUAUUUUCUGUUGGCGUUCUUCCUUCCUCCAUGACACCAACAACAUCUCGAGACUUUUCUUGUCACCAACUCUAAGGAUCCUCCAUCUUCAGAAUUCUGUUUGCUUUGAUAGUCUUGACAACCCAUAACCUAUUCUUGAAUUUCACUGAUAUGCCAGGUUUGGGUUUGUCACUUUUCACAUCAGGGUGGUGGUGAACCAAUUCUCCUUCCUUAUCUGCCUCCUGAUGAUCUUGUGCUCCUAGUACCAAAAAUUUUAUCCUGCAUACACUAAAGAACACUGCACUAGAGCACAAAAUUAGCCAAAA
rnacentral:lncRNA from 1 species